UAGGGAAUCUUCGGCAAUGGGGGGAACCCUGACCGAGCAACGCCGCGUGAGUGAAGAAGGUUUUCGGAUCGUAAAGCUCUGUUGUUAAGGAAGAACGAGUGUGAGAAUGGAAAGUUCAUACUGUGACGGUACUUAACCAGAAAGGGACGGCUAACUACGUGCCAGCAGCCGCGGUAAUACGUAGGUCCCGAGCGUUGUCCGGAUUUAUUGGGCGUAAAGCGAGCGCAGGCGGUUAGAUAAGUCUGAUGUGAAAGCCCCCGGCUCAACCGGGGAGGGUCUUUGGAAACUGGUUGACUUGAGUGCAGAAGAGGAGAGUGGAAUUCCAUGUGUAGCGGUGAAAUGCGUAGAUAUAUGGAGGAACACCAGUGGCGAAGGCGACUCUCUGGUCUGUAACUGACGCUGAGGCUCGAAAGCGUGGGGAGCGAACAG
rnacentral:rRNA from 1 species